UGACAACCACUCCUCCUUGCCCUACCC
rnacentral:piRNA from 1 species